rnacentral:lncRNA from 1 species
CUUUGGUCCAUUGCUACAUAGGCGCCUGUCAUCAUUGGUACAUUAUGCCCAGUGAGAUUAGGAUUUGCUUGCGGGAUGUUUGCGUUGUUCACAACAUAUUGCUGUCUCGAGGGUGGUGGUUGUGUUUGCGGUUGUGUUGUCGUGUUUUGUAAGUAUUGCAAUUCAUCCACUUCCUCUUGCAAUUCUACCAAUUGUUUUUUUUCUUGAUUUAGUUUUGCUAUUUUUUAGGCUGCUAGUCGUUGGGCAAAUCUUUCUUUUUCUUAUUUCAGAGUCUCGAGUUGUUUUAGCACCAAGGCCGAUUCCUUUUCUGUUUCUCCGAGUAAAUCAUUUCUCUCUUUACAACGGGGUAGGGCUCCCCUUUUAUAGUGAUCCAUGACCUACUUUACAUUCCAAGAAUGUCCUUACUCAACCACUACAUUCCUAGGAUAUGCCGUAUAUAAGGGUCAUUGAAGAAAAUGUGUACAAAUUGAACUCUUCCACAUGGUCACGUUUCUCACACCUUCCGCCUUCUAACCUUGAGAUUUCAUCUUCAUUCAAAGCUGAUCAUCA